CACUAUCGUUAACUGAAUACAUAGGUUAACGAGGCGAACCGGGGGAACUGAAACAUCUAAGUACCCCGAGGAAAAGAAAUCAACCGAGAUUCCCCCAGUAGCGGCGAGCGAACGGGGAGCAGCCCAGAGUCUGAAUCAGCUUGUGUGUUAGUGGAACGGUCUGGAAAGUCCGACGGUACAGGGUGAUAGUCCCGUACACCAAAAUGCACAGGCUGUGAACUCGAAGAGUAGGGCGGGACACGUGGUAUCCUGUCUGAAUAUGGGGGGACCAUCCUCCAAGGCUAAAUACUCCUGACUGACCGAUAGUGAACCAGUACCGUGAGGGAAAGGCGAAAAGAACCCCGGCGAGGGGAGUGAAAAAGAACCUGAAACCGUGUACGUACAAGCAGUGGGAGCACCUUCGGGUGUGACUGCGUACCUUUUGUAUAAUGGGUCAGCGACUUAUAUUCUGUAGCAAGGUUAACCGUAUAGGGGAGCCGCAGGGAAACCGAGUCUUAACUGGGCGUUAAGUUGCAGGGUAUAGACCCGAAACCCGGUGAUCUAGCCAUGGGCAGGUUGAAGGUUGGGUAACACUAACUGGAGGACCGAACCGACUAAUGUUGAAAAAUUAGCGGAUGACUUGUGGCUGGGGGUGAAAGGCCAAUCAAACCGGGAGAUAGCUGGUUCUCCCCGAAAGCUAUUUAGGUAGCGCCUCGUGAAUUCAUCUUCGGGGGUAGAGCACUGUUUCGGCUAGGGGGUCAUCCCGACUUACCAACCCGAUGCAAACUACGAAUACCGAAGAAUGUUAUCACGGGAGACACACGGCGGGUGCUAACGUCCGUCGUGAAGAGGGAAACAACCCAGACCGCCAGCUAAGGUCCCAAAGUCAUGGUUAAGUGGGAAACGAUGUGGGAAGGCACAGACAGCCAGGAUGUUGGCUUAGAAGCAGCCAUCAUUUAAAGAAAGCGUAAUAGCUCACUGGUCGAGUCGGCCUGCGCGGAAGAUGUAACGGGGCUAAACCAUGCACCGAAGCUGCGGCAGCGACACUAUGUGUUGUUGGGUAGGGGAGCGUUCUGUAAGCCUGCGAAGGUGUGCUGUGAGGCAUGCUGGAGGUAUCAGAAGUGCGAAUGCUGACAUAAGUAACGAUAAAGCGGGUGAAAAGCCCGCUCGCCGGAAGACCAAGGGUUCCUGUCCAACGUUAAUCGGGGCAGGGUGAGUCGACCCCUAAGGCGAGGCCGAAAGGCGUAGUCGAUGGGAAACAGGUUAAUAUUCCUGUACUUGGUGUUACUGCGAAGGGGGGACGGAGAAGGCUAUGUUAGCCGGGCGACGGUUGUCCCGGUUUAAGCAUGUAGGCUGGUUGUCCAGGCAAAUCCGGAUAAUCAAGGCUGAGGUGUGAUGACGAGGCACUACGGUGCUGAAGUAACAAAUGCCCUGCUUCCAGGAAAAGCCUCUAAGCAUCAGGUAACAUUAAAUCGUACCCCAAACCGACACAGGUGGUCAGGUAGAGAAUACCAAGGCGCUUGAGAGAACUCGGGUGAAGGAACUAGGCAAAAUGGUGCCGUAACUUCGGGAGAAGGCACGCUGGUGUGUAGGUGAAGUCCCUGCGGAUGGAGCUGAGACCAGUCGAAGAUACCAGCUGGCUGCAACUGUUUAUUAAAAACACAGCACUGUGCAAACACGAAAGUGGACGUAUACGGUGUGACGCCUGCCCGGUGCCGGAAGGUUAAUUGAUGGGGUUAUCCGUAAGGAGAAGCUCUUGAUCGAAGCCCCGGUAAACGGCGGCCGUAACUAUAACGGUCCUAAGGUAGCGAAAUUCCUUGUCGGGUAAGUUCCGACCUGCACGAAUGGCGUAAUGAUGGCCAGGCUGUCUCCACCCGAGACUCAGUGAAAUUGAACUCGCUGUGAAGAUGCAGUGUACCCGCGGCAAGACGGAAAGACCCCGUGAACCUUUACUAUAGCUUGACACUGAACAUUGAGCCUUGAUGUGUAGGAUAGGUGGGAGGCUUUGAAGCGUGGACGCCAGUCUGCGUGGAGCCAACCUUGAAAUACCACCCUUUAAUGUUUGAUGUUCUAACGUUGGCCCCUUACCGGGGUUGCGGACAGUGUCUGGUGGGUAGUUUGACUGGGGCGGUCUCCUCCCAAAGCGUAACGGAGGAGCACGAAGGUUAGCUAAUCCUGGUCGGACAUCAGGAGGUUAGUGCAAUGGCAUAAGCUAGCUUGACUGCGAGCGUGACGGCGCGAGCAGGUGCGAAAGCAGGUCAUAGUGAUCCGGUGGUUCUGAAUGGAAGGGCCAUCGCUCAACGGAUAAAAGGUACUCCGGGGAUAACAGGCUGAUACCGCCCAAGAGUUCAUAUCGACGGCGGUGUUUGGCACCUCGAUGUCGGCUCAUCACAUCCUGGGGCUGAAGUAGGUCCCAAGGGUAUGGCUGUUCGCCAUUUAAAGUGGUACGCGAGCUGGGUUUAGAACGUCGUGAGACAGUUCGGUCCCUAUCUGCCGUGGGCGCUGGAGAAUUGAGGGGGGCUGCUCCUAGUACGAGAGGACCGGAGUGGACGCAUCACUGGUGUUCGGGUUGUCAUGCCAAUGGCACUGCCCGGUAGCUAAAUGCGGAAGAGAUAAGUGCUGAAAGCAUCUAAGCACGAAACUUGCCCCGAGAUGAGUUCUCCCUGAGACUUUAAGUCUCCUGAAGGAACGUU
rnacentral:rRNA from 1 species